rnacentral:rRNA from 1 species
CAUUUGCUCUUAAUGGACUGGGGGCACUCCGGGCUGAACCGGAACUCCGGGGUCCACGCUCCAGAAUGCACGGCGCACACCAAAGGUGUUAGUUCAUCCACGGACGGGUGCGAUGGAAGUGCGCAUCCGCUAAGGAGUGUAACAACUCACCUGCCGAAUGAACUAGCCCUGAAAAUGGAUGGCGCUCAAGCGUGUUACCCAUACCCCGCCCUCGGCAAUUAAGCCCCGGCGCGGCAGGCGUGGAGGCUCGUGACGAAGCCUUGGGGUGGAGCGCGAACGGCCUCUAGUGCAAUGUAAUACAUGGCCUGGCGAGGUGUCCGGCAAAUGGAAAGGGAUUUAAUUCAACCGUGUGGGACGAUGCGUAGAACAGCAGGUCGACGGGGUUCUACGUUCACUGGUUUGCAGCGCGCUUGCGCCUCGAAGGGAAGCCCCGGUUAAUAUUUUAAGCUGGAUGUAGAUUCGCGGCAACGCAAUGGAGCGGAGACCUUGGCGGGAGCGCAGAAGAGUUCUCUUUCUUAACGGUCUGUCACCCUGAAUGGUUUGUCCGGAGCGCCAUUCAAUGGCCGGAAGAGCCUGCACUUUGCGGCGUUAUCCGCUCCCGACAGGUGCUAUUGAAAAUCGCUUAAGAAAUAGUUUUACGCCAGGUCGUACUCAUAACGCAGCAGGUCUCCAAGGUGAAAAGCCCUCGUGAUAGAACAAUGUAGAUAAGGGAAGUCGGCAAAAGUAAUGCGUAACCUUCGGGAAAGGAUUGGCUCUAAGGGUUGGGUACGUUGGGCCUGUGGGGAAAGGCCUCUGGCGCAGAAGGCACUAGCCAAUGGCGCCUUUCAGCGCUGGGGGUGCGGACACCCUUGUGGCAGCUUCGGCCGUCCGGCGUACGUCAACAUACAAUCGGAACUCUAAUAGGACAAGGGGAAUCUGACUGUCUAAUAUUAAACAUAGCAUUGCGAUGGCCAGAAAGUGUUGACGCAAUGUACUUCUGCCAGUGCUCUGGAUCAACCGAAGAGAUUCGACCGGCGCAGACGGGCGGGAGUAACUAUAGUAACUCUUAAGGUAGCCAAAUGCUCGUCAUCUAAUGCUGACACGCGCAUGAAUGGAUUAACGAGAUUCCCACUGUCCCUAUCAUUACCCUCCGAACCACAGCCAAGGGAACGGGCUUACAAAUCAGCGGGGAAAGAAGACCCUGUUGAGCUUAUGACUAGUUUGACAUUGUGAAAGACAUAGGGGUGUGAAUAGGUGGGAAUUCGUGCCGGUGAAAUACCACUCAUUGUAUCCGUUUUACUUAUUCGGAUGGCAAAUGGAGCUGGGCCUCACCGCCAACUUCCGCGUUUAAGUCCUUCGUGGGCUGAUCCGGGUUGAAGACAUUGUCGGCUGGGGAGUUUGGAUGGGGCGGCACAAUGAGGAGCGUUAAACCAUAACGCAGGUGUCCUAAGGGGACUCCAUGGAGAACUCUUGCAAUCUCCAGUAGAGCAAAGGGCAAAGUCCCCUUGAUUUUGAUUUUCAGUGUGAAUACAACCAUGAAAGUGGCCUAUCGAUCCUUUAGUCCCUCGAAAUUUGAGGCCUAGAGGUGCCAGAAAAGUUACCACAGGGAUAACUGGCUUGGCAGCCAAGCGUUCACCCGGCGCGACGUUGCUUUUGAUCCUUCGAUGUCGGCUCUUCCUAUCAUACCGAAGCAGAAUUCGGUAAGCGUUGGAUUGUUCUACCCACUAAUAGGGAACGUGAGCUGGGUUUAGACCGUCGUGAGACAGGUUAGUUUACCCUACUGGAUGACCUCUUGCCCGUAAUGGUAAUACCGCUUAGUACGAGAAACCGCGGUUUCAGAUAAUUGGUUUUGCGGCCUGUCUGACCAGGCAUUGCCGCGAAGCCCAUCUGCUGGAUUAUGAUGAACGCCUCUAAGUCAGAAAAUGCCAGAGCUGACGGGGUGAUUUCCGCCUGCACCAGUCUGGAUACGAAUAGGCCUUUGGCCCAGAAACCUUACGCAGAUCGGCGUCAGCCCAUUGAAGUUGGAGUCCCUCUCGCUAGCUGUAUGCAAUUGUACAGUGCGCAGGAUUGAAUCCUUUGCAGACGACUGCUUGUCUAGCUAGGUCGUGUAAGUAGUUAAGUAGCCUUGUUGUUACGAGCUACUAAGCGUAAGCCCGUAGCUUAGUUAAAAUUAGG